UGGAGUGUUAUAACACUGUGUAUAAGGUGAUAAUGGAGUGUUCUAACACUGUGUAAUGUGAUAAUGGAGUGUUCUAACACUGUGUAUAAGGUGAUAAUGGGAGUGUUCUAACACUGUGUAUAAGGUGAUAAUGGCCAGCUACAUGGUUGUUCCCUGGUGACCUGUGUCAUUGUGUCUCUAGGAGGGGAGGAUAAGAAGUUCCUGAUCACUCGUCUCCAGGCCAUCCACCAGCAGAAACGACCCUCUCCCCUCGCAGACUCACCAGUCAGGAUUCCAACUGUUAGCAUUCCAACUACUGAAAGGGCAUUCUCUCCCUUCUCAUUGGAGGGAAUAUCUCAGAAAAUGUCCUGAAUGGACCAACCUGGAUGUAGCUCUCCUCUCCUGACUCUGGGAAGAGUUGUUAAGGGAUUCUUCAACUGGAAAACUAUUCUCAUAGGAUGUCCUCUUUCCCAGGAAGCUGAGUUGGGACUGGGACUAUAAAGGAAUUUACUUCUUUACAAUAACAAUUCCCACAGACGCCAAAACGUGAAUCUGAUAGGAUCCACACUCUUUCCCAGGAAGCUGGUCCUUAUAAGGAUUGGGAAUAGGAUUGGGAAUGGGACAAAGCAGGCUUUCCCUCUUCCAAUAACAGACUACACCUCAUAGGAAAGACCACUGUCUUUAUAGGAUCUUACUCUGGCCAGGCCAUAGGCUACAACUUACUGUAACUAGGCUACAUAGGAAAGACCACUGUCUUUAUAGGAUCUUACUUGGCCAGGCCAUAGGCUACAACUUACUGUAACUAGGCUACAUAGGGAAAGACCACUGUCUUUAUAGGAUCUUACUAUGGCCAGGCCAUAGGCUACAACUUACUGUAACUAGGCUACAUAGGGAAAGACCACUGUCUUUAUAGGAUCUUACUAUGGCCAGGCCAUAGGCUACAACUUACUGUAACUAGGCUACAUAGGGAAAGACCACUGUCUUUAUAGGAUCUUACUAUGGCCAGGCCAUAGGCUACAACUUACUGUAACUAGGCUACAUAGGAAAGACCACUGUCUUUAUAGGAUCUUACUAUGGCCAGGCCAUAGGCUACAACUUACUGUAACUAGGCUACAUAGGGAAAGACCACUGUCUUUAUAGGAUCUUACUAUGGCCAGGCCAUAGGCUACAACUUACUGUAACUAGGCUACAUAGGAAAAGACCACUGAGUUUUUAUGAACUUACUAUGGCCAGGCCAUAGGCUCCACCUUACUGUUUAUUCUUCAUGUAAAUGAAAGGACAUGCCACUGUCACAAAACAAUGGUUUAUCGAAGCUCAAUACUUUCAGCCAAGGAUCUUUGUCCUUUUUUAAACUUGGAUUGGAAGCCCUGGUCAUGAGGUCAUGAGAGAGGAUGUAGGGGUGAAGAGGAAACGAGACUGGGAUACGGUGUGCUUGUAGGGACACCGAACGGAAUGCGCUUUUUAGAAACAAUAUUUUUUUCCCUCACAACUCUGAAUAAGGGAACAUAUCAAAUGCCAACAAGCUGCCAACGUUGCACAAAGGAUUAAAACAGUGGCAUUGUUAAGCAGGGUGAAUUCUGUCAAAUAUAGGAUUUGGAUUUUUUUUAAAAUUGUAAAUAGUAUGAUUUUUUAAAUUGUAUUACUUUAGAUGUUUUUAUUGUAUAAACAGGUAUUUUGUCAACAGUCCUUUCAUACCAACUGUGAACAAAUAGGUUAUUUCUUUCCGUUUCUGAUAUAAAAUGUUAUGUUUUUAUGUUAAUUGGUGGUCAACACACUGCUUCUGAAAUGGCACUCUUCCCUACAUAGUGCACGACUUUAUAGGGCGCUGGUCGUACGUAGUGCACUAUGUAGAGAAUAGGGUACCUUUUUGGAUGCAUUCUCUGUUUACUGACUCUGUAGGAAGAAUCCACUUCUUAGUAUCGGGCAAUCUGAUUGGUUCGUUCAAACAGGAAAUGGUCUUAGAAGAUCAACCACUGGAACAGUACGUUAUUUGAAUGUCUCUUAUUGUUUUUAAGUUGUUUUGUUUGUAUACUUUAUACGAAAUUAAAUGUUUUAACAUA